UGUGGAACUCUACGUCGCCGAUGAAGCGCAUGCUGGAAGCCUAGCACCGGCUAGUCCCAGCUGUGUCCCGGCUAUCGUCGUACAACGACCGAAGAUCAUACACUUUUAUUAUUAUUGCUUUGUCAUAAACUGCUAUAAACUUUAAUCGAUGCGGAUAACUAUACUCUAUUCAACGAGAAAGGUCAGUAGAGGUAAACAGGACGAUCACAUGUUAGACGUCCAACAGAUGCAAGCAACGUGAGUUAUUGACUGACGGAUGUUGAGUCGAGGGGCAGAUUUACCUGGCUCAUUGCUAAAGCUCCCUUCGACCUCUCGGGCUUAUGACACGGACGAUAACACUGUCAAACGUAUCACGAAACACGGAGAUAAAUCUGCGUUGUUUCCAUCAUUUGAAAAAGGAUUGUCUUUAAACAAGAGAAUAAAGAAUUUCAAGAAUUCUAUCCGGGAAAUAGUGCAACAUUUAAAAGUCUGCGGACUCUUCUCGUUGAACAGAGUAUAGCAUUGACCUUUAAGCGAAGCUCUGUUAAUGAAUAACAUUUUACUUACAGUAGCGCAAUCCAUAACCCGAGCUAUCCAUCAAGCUAUAGUAUAUCCUUCAUCUUGCUACUACCACGGAUUACAAUCCACCCUAUAUAUAUAUAUGUAGGAUUAAGUUCCCAAAUGGUGCCACCUUUAUUUUGAUCAGUAAUACGACCUUUUUAUUUCAACACUCCGAGGACAUUUGCGUAGGCGCGUGCGCGUUUUGCCAGCUUUCAAGACGAGAAGAAAUCUUCCCACUCAUUAUGCUCCUGUCUUCUUCUCCUUUCCGGCACGCAAUCUGAGUGUGGCGUUAGUCACACACAGGCUGAGGUACACUUGAAUAUCUCGAUCGUUAUUGGUGACAGAAAAAAAUAAAUUUUUAUGGUGUCGUGUAGCACAUAAUUUCAUGUAAACAUUUCUUUAGGUAAACCCGUACAGGUCAUGUGAAAAUCCACUUAAUGAUAUGAUAACGAUACGAAAUGAUAUGUUUUUAUGUACCAUUUAGUGGAGAAUAAUUUAAUUUACGCGAGCGACCGAAUACUUUAUUUCAUGCAAUGGCGAUUUGUUAAUGUACCAGUACACUGCUGCUUCAAAUGUUCAAAAUGGAGAGCUUGAGCGUCGAUGCAUGAUCUAAAGCGUUAUGAGAGCAAUAUCACGGCAUGUCGAAUUCGGUUCGGAUUAAUAGAGGAUUUUUAUUUAUGGGGAAAAUUAAA